CGCAGAGUAGAGCAGUCUGGUAGCUCGUGGGGCUCAUAACCCCAAGGUCGCAGGUUCGAAUCCUGUCUCUGCA
rnacentral:tRNA from 1 species